CCUUCGUCGCCCCGUCGCUUGGGAGCCAAAGGUAACACUAACGUCCCGCCGACGGGCCUUGGAAAAAAGCAAAGCAUUCCCUGCAAGCGGGUUUUCUCCUCAAGUUAAGUUUUCUUAAGGGUUUUUCUUCACUAUUCCCAAAUCAAGACAGUUUUCCUGCUGAGGCCUUGAAGAUAAGUCUAGAUUUCUCUGAGGUGAAGGUGUUCCUGAAGAGUGUGGUUAUUCUUCAGUCAGCUACUCAGAAAAGAGAUUGAAACUUCACUUUCACAAUCCUUCACUUCGCUGCAUGCUGUCUUCUUGUUCUCACUGGAAACUGAGCCACGGUUGGAAAUGUGUAUCUUCAGACUUCAUUGAGGAACUCCAGAUUGAGACAUGCUGGGAUGUGGAUUGAGUCCAUGGUCAGAGAAGAUGGAUUAAAUGGAAACAAAACAGGAAAUGUAUGCUUGAAGUCUAACAGCAGCUGCUGAGGGUCAUUCCGCUCUUGUAGUUGUGCCUGUGGGAAGAGUAAGACCAUGCAAAAUACUUACUACACCUAAAAAUAGCCAGUUUAAAAGACUUUGCAGAAGUGAAUUGGCACAUUUCAUGGAAAGACUGCUGUAAAUAAUCGGGUAGGACUUCAGGACCAGGAAAACAUGAUCUCCCUAUACCUGAAGAUACUUAGUGGGGAGAGAAGCACUGCUUUAGGUUUUUGUAGAUCAGGUGACUGUAAGCUCUCUCCUAAUCCUAGCAUUCUUUUAAAAGCUUUUCAUCUAAAGUAGAACGGAAAACACAGUUCAGGUGCAAAUCAUGUGGAAAGGCACCACAGUGAAGUGGGUUAAAGGCUAGGGCUCUAAGAUUGGCACCAGUUUGGACAAAUCAUCGAACCACUCUAUGCCUCAGUUUCCUCACUGGUAAAAUGGGAUGAGGCGAGUGCCCUCCUCAUAAGGCUGUGAGGAUUGAGAGUUGACAUUUGUGAAGCACAUACAACAGUCUCUGGCACAUGAUAAGUGCUAGGUUGGCUAUUAUUACUGAUGGCUUUAUCAUCUCCUUUGCUCCUCCUGCCUGUGCAUUGACCAUUAACCCCUGACUGAUGAAUUCCAGGUGGGAGUGGUGCUCUUACAGAGACCACCCAUUAGGACUAUGGUUAACUGUGAGAGAACUGUGUGAAGAGGAAAAAAUACAUAUAUCCUCAUUUGGGGAAAGCAUAGGCCAUCCUGUACUAACUUGAGGUUAGAAAUGGUUUCCCUUGUUGGGGAAAGACACUAUCACUGCUUCAGAUAGUGACAAUAUUUGAUAUGUUGCAACUUUGUAGAAGUUUCACCAUUUCUCUGUUUCAGAGAUAAGACCAAGGGACAUUACUCUGGUAAACACAUCCAGUAGUUGGAUGUUAUUGCUGAGUCUAACACACCUAGCACCUCGAUUUUUCAUAAGCUUUGAAGCAGAGGCUGAGGUCAGUAAAUAUGUGGUAGCUUUUGAAAAGUUCUUGGAAAUGAGAUUUUAGGAUGAAAUUAGUGUGAGUGCAGGAUUAUGAGGUUAUUCUUCAGUGACAAGAAGUACCUACAGUUGUCCACGUUUUCAUCAAUUACUGGGAUAAUGAAAUGGAGAGCACUGUUUAAAUUUCCCAUUGUUGAUAAAAAAUAGCCAUGUGAUUGGCACUUUGAAAGAUGGACCACAAUUUUAAGGUAUGACAGUUUGAAAAAAAGCAGUUUGAAAUAAUAGGAAAAGAAGUUUAAAAGGGACAAGGAUGUUUAGGGAGGAAUAAGCAAAAAACCUUACUAACCGAAGAUACCAUAUGAUGGCUUUGAUGACAGAAUAUCUUUGGGACCACUAAAAGCUCACAUUCAGCUCAUGCUGAGCCUUGCUGUGUUAUAAACCUAUCACAGCAUAUGAAAACAUAUACAAAAUGUAAAGUGAUGGGAGGCUCUGAAAAAAAUAAUUUUAUAGCAUUUAAGGUGCUUUUAAUUUCUGUACAUUAGUUAGAUGUAGGCUGUACUAAAGGAUUUGAAGAAUUUGUAAAGGAUUUAGGCAAGUAUGAAGAGACCAAAAAGAAAAGUUAAAUAUUACCUAUAUUAUUACAAUUCAACAGCAAAGGUGUGUAUAUAUUUAAUUAUUUAAAAUUAAAUAUAUUGAUGGUAGUUAUUUCACAGGGAUCCUCUUUGAAUCCUUUGAUGAGUCUAACAUCCCCCUCAAAUAUAUGUUUUUAAAGGUCAAUAUAUACUGCCCACAGUGUCUAAGCAAAUAGUUUGCUUAAACAAGCAACUUAUAUAUACCAUGUAAAUCCUUCAUAUGAGUUGUAGUAUAGGGGGUUGGAAUGAUUGUUUCUAUUUUCUCUGAGCACUGUAUUUGGAGAAAUAGAACUUCUGGAGAAAUAGAACUUUUUAAACUUAUCAGUGGUUAAAAAGAAAGAAAGAAAAAAAUUUUGAUAGAAUUGCCAGGCACUGUGCUUGGUUACUGAGGAAGAUUCUGAAGCUGACUAUGUAUCUUCAGAGACAAUAUCUAACCCUUAACCUCCAUUACAUAAACCUUCAGUCUGAUUUGGCACAUAUUCUUUGACCACUGACCUAGAUCCUCUUCUUGUAAACAGUGCUGCUGUCAACUUACAGGCAGUUAUUUAAAAUCAGAUAAGACUUAUCAAAGUGCAAGUCUGUACCAUUAGAAGGUACAAGGUCAUAUUUCUGAGUGGGUUCUUUUCUGUCAUCAAACUCUUCCUCUCCCUUCAGCAGUUGCCUAUACAUGUGUCCUAACUGGGUCCUUUCAGUCAGCGCCCCCUCCUUCCUGAAAGAUCUAUGUUGGUGAGUCUCUGCCUGCUUCUUUCUGUAGUGUGUGUCUUUAAUAAUCCAUUGCAUUGUCCCCACUGCCCUUAAGGGAACAACCUUUAGUCUGACUCAGCAUUCCUUCCUUCCCUUUGGCCUCACUAUUCUCUCAUAAAUAUGCUAAAGUUAACUUAUUCUUUGCCAUAGCUGUUUUCAGACCUGGAGCUCUGACUUUUUUUUUUUUUUUUUCAGGCUCUAAAUUUCAGGCUCUUGACAUUGAAAUACUAUAAGAGUAUUUCAAAGGGAAUAGCUUCCUAUAUCAAAGGCCUAUGUUUUCUCAAGGUUCUUUACUGUCCCUUUUCCUGACUUCUCCUCUGAUCACUUUCUAUUAUUUCUUUUAAUCUUUGUCUCUUGUUGGCAUCAUUUCACUGGCUGAAGAGGAUUAAAAGUUUGAGAAAGUAAUGUGUUUCCUGAAGGUGUACCUCACCUCUCACAAUGGGAGAAACGGUCACCAUUUUUCUGAGUAAUCUCUAUGAGUUUUCAUCAUUCAGAUGCUAAAGGUUAGGCACUUAGCUAGUAGCUCAUCUUUAAAUAAAAAAGUAAAAUUUUAAAAAUACAUUAAAAACUUUCCAUAAUCUUAAGACAAAUUUAAAUAAUCAUUUCCCUAAUAUACUUCCUUUCAAGCUUAUUCCUAAGGACAAAUAUAAGUGAGAGCUCAAAUUUUCCUAAAAGAAUAUUUCUUAGUUCCAUUUGCGGUUAGGAUCGAUAUUCUGCUUCUUUAGUUCCCUAAUGCUGUAGUUCAGUAACAAGCUAGUGACAAAUGCACUGAUACACGGACUAUGUCUAUAAUAUGAGAGGCAGAGAUAAAAGUUUAUUCCUCUGUGUGUAUGUAACAAGUUGUUAAUGGAUGAUCUAGUUACUACUUCCCUAUAGAAAGCCUAGAUAAGAUCUAGCAUAUAGGAUAACCAUUAUUUUAUUAAUAAAGAGAAGGAGGGUUAAAAUCUAAACUUUCCCUUAUUAGUUUUAUGCUAUGUAUGUAUAUAUAUAUUAGAGCAGUUGUAGAUUUACAGAAAAAUCAUGCAGAAAGUUCCGAGUUCCAUAUAUUCCUCCUUGUCUCCACAGUUUCCCUAUUAUUAACAUUUUGUAUGUGUGCUAUCUUUGUUACAACUGAUAAGACAUUAUUAUAAUUAUACUGUUAACUAUAGCUUAAGGUUUACAUAAGGGUUGACCUCUUUGUUAUUAUCCACUUUCAAAUACACAAUUCAGGGGUUAUAAUUACAUUCACAAAGUUGUACCUCUAUCACCAUCAUCCAACGCCAACACUUUUCCAUCACCCCAA